AGCAGUAUUGAACUGAAGAGUUUGAUCAUGGCUCAGAUUGAACGCUGGCGGCAGGCCUAACACAUGCAAG
rnacentral:rRNA from 1 species